rnacentral:lncRNA from 1 species
AGCCAGCUAAUGAUGUCCCCACCCCCAUCCUCAUCUCUCAAAUUCAACUGCUCCACCUCAUCUUCUUCACCAUCAACAAUGAAUUCCUUUCAGUUCUCCAAGACUUAUCAAACUCAGUUUGUGAAGUUGGAAGAGCACAAUUUCUUAAGCAGUGAAGAGGCUUGCAAUUUCUUCUCAGACGAGCAACCUCCAACUCUUCACUGGUACUGUUCUGAUCAAUGGAAUUAGGAAACAAGCAGGAACAAAAACUGAAAAUAAGGAAGCAGUCAAGAUAGUGGGUGGUAUCU